AGACUUCCUUUUGGGAACAGGAUUUUGGGUAGAGGUCCUUUCUUAAAGUGCUGGUGAGCAAGGCCUGAAAAGUUGCCUGGCUUUGAGAUGUGAGCCAUGAAAGGAGCACUUCCUUCCAAGUGUCUGCUGGCAUAGGUACCUCAGCCUGGGGUCUGAGCAGACCCUCGGUUCUUCAUUCAUGUAGUUGCUUUUUGAGGAGGGGAGUGCACAAAGGGGCAAACCCCUGCCCUACAACUCCUUCAACUAUUCGUUGCUCAAGUUGGGGGAAAAGAAGUGUGUGAGAGCCUGUUCCCUGGGACCGAGACUCCAUCUGCAGGCAGGAGCAUGCCACUCUCUACCGAGAGCCACAACGACCUCCGUGCAGCAUCGAGCCCUUUAGGUCUUGAGUGACACUACUGAAAUCCCCCAGUUUCUCAGUGCACAGAAGUAUAUCUAUCCCUCCCAAAACCUAAAUAAGAGUAAUACGAAAUCAAAUUGUAUGGGUACCUCAUGAAUUUUACUUCCAUGACCUAGGCACCUUUAAGUGCUAGCAGGCAACAUAUAUGGGGGGUUAUAUGUGUAAAUAUGUGUGCUUACUGGUGAGAGAAUAACACUAAGGAAGUAUGGCUGCAGGUUAGUGAGAAAAGCAAUUAAAUCCUGUGGCCACAGCACCUACAUGUCAGGGAUAUGUUGAUGAUAAUGGUUUGCUGGGAACAGGAGCCUUAAAAUUCUACAUCUAGCUUUGUUGGUGAACUACCAUAGGCAGAGUGCAUGUCCCCAGCUGAAAGGUAGAGGUAAUGAUGCUUUGCAAAUGUCUAAGAAAAAAGGCAGCCAACUUCCAGUGCUUUCAUUUUAGAGGGAUUAAAAAUACAGUCACUCUUCUACCUGCUCUGCAGUUAUAAAUUCCUUUAGUUUGUAUAAUCUUCAGGAUACUGAGAGAAGAGUGAGGAAGUAAAACACCAGCCAUAAGUUUGGAAUGAUUGAUUAAUGUUUUCCAUUAAGUAGCUCAUAAACCAGUAGCAAUUAUAAGAAAAAGUAUUUGGACAUUAAAGAUUUUUGGAUAUUCUAAGUUUUUUUUUUGGUGAAGAGUCCUAAUAGGUAAAAAAGCCUGGUAGAAUAUUUGUGUACUGUAAACUACUCCCAUAAAACCAGACAUGAGUACCAUGUUUAGGAAAGAAUAAAUCCUUAUGUGACAACACUUUCAUUUAGACUGGGAGAGUCCUCUUAAGAUCAUCUAUACCAGCCUCAGUGCUCAAACAGAUAAGCUAAGUUGUUCAGGCAACCUCUCUGGUCAACCUGUGGCAGUGUUUGAAUCUUCUAAUGUUAAAAAAAUAAAUCACGUUCUUGUGUUCAGAUGGAA